rnacentral:rRNA from 1 species
GACGAACGCUGGCGGCGUGCUUAACACAUGCAAGUCGAACGGUGAAGCGCCUUCCUUUUUGGUGGGUGUGGAUGAGUGGCGAACGGGUGAGUAACACGUGAGUAACCUGCCCCCUUCUUCUGGAUAACCGCAUGAAAGUGUGGCUAAUACGGGAUAUUCUGGGUCUGUCGCAUGAUGGGUCUGGGAAAGAUAUUGUUUCGGUGGGGGAUGGGCUCGCGGCCUAUCAGCUUGUUGGUGGGGUGAUGGCCUACCAAGGCGGUGACGGGUAGCCGGCCUGAGAGGGUGGACGGUCCCACUGGGACUGAGGCACGGCCCAGACUCCUACGGGAGGCAGCAGUGGGGAAUAUUGCACAAUGGGCGCAAGCCUGAUGCAGCGACGCCGCGUGAGGGAUGGAGGCCUUCGGGUUGUGAACCUCUUUCGCCAGUGAAGCAGGCCUGCCUCGUUUGUGGGUGGGUUGACGGUAGCUGGAUAAGAAGCGCCGGCUAACUACGUG